AGUGAACGCUGGCGGUAGGCCUAACACAUGCAAGUCGAACGGCAGCACAGUAAGAGCUUGCUCUUACGGGUGGCGAGUGGCGGACGGGUGAGGAAUACAUCGGAAUCUACUUUUUCGUGGGGGAUAACGUAGGGAAACUUACGCUAAUACCGCAUACGACCUACGGGUGAAAUCAGGGGAUCUUCGGACCUUGCGCGAUUGAAUGAGCCGAUGUCGGAUUAGCUAGUUGGCGGGGUAAAGGACCACCAAGGCGACGAUCCGUAGCUGGUCUGAGAGGAUGAUCAGCCACACUGGAACUGAGACACGGUCCAGACUCCUACGGGAGGCAGCAGUGGGGAAUAUUGGACAAUGGGCGCAAGCCUGAUCCAGCCAUACCGCGUGGGUGAAGAAGGCCUUCGGGUUGUAAAGCCCUUUUGUUGGGAAAGAAAAGCAGCAGGUUAAUACCCCGCUGUUCUGACGGUACCCAAAGAAUAAGCACCGGCUAACUUCGUG
rnacentral:rRNA from 1 species